GCUACCCAUAAAAGUGUUGCAGGUAUAGCUGCUGUGUCACAUAUGCAUCUGUAGGGGGCAGACAGGAGGAAGGCUAGUCUGUGCUUAGUGUUCUGACCUCUGAACAUCUGAAUGAUUAAUAGCCUAAAAUU